rnacentral:rRNA from 1 species
UACAGAGGGUGCGAGCGUUAAUCGGAAUUACUGGGCGUAAAGGGUUCGUAGGUGGCCAACUAAGUCAGACGUGAAAUCCCUCGGCUCAACCGGGGAACUGCGUCUGAUACUGGUUGGCUUGAGUGCAGGAGAGGAACGCGGAAUUCCAGGUGUAGCGGUGAAAUGCGUAGAUAUCUGGAGGAACACCGGUGGCGAAGGCGGCGUUCUGGACUGCAACUGACACUGAGGAACGAAAGCCAGGGGAGCAAACGGG